CCAAAAAUAAAAACUCUAAUUUACGCUCUGUCUGAUAUUAUAUAAAAUUAUAUUUUAAAUAGUAAGAUAAACACUAUAAAAAAAAACUAUAUUUAUUUUUAUAUUUAAUACUACAUUUUGCAUGUCAUAACUAAUAGUUUCAAUUCCGUUUACUAAAUAUUUUUUUUGAGAGAGAAAGAUAGUAUGCUAUUGAAUCAACUAUAAUUCGAACUUAAGAGACCUCAUGUACUAACUAUCAAGUCCUUUGCCGCUUACAGUACCGACGGUCAGUCAAUUCAUCAAAUUCAUGUUACUGUAUCAAAAAAGUCCUUUACCACUUAUAGUAAGGACGGUCGGUCCGUUUAGACUUAGUUUGGUAUUGAGCUCCAUCUGACGCUAUUAGAUAAAAUGGAGUCGGAAUAAAAGUAUAUAGGGAUAUACUUCUGUGUACUUCUGUGUUCUCCGAUGAAACCGCAGAAAAUAUAUCGUAACCCACUCAUCAUAAUAUGUGGAACGUAAUAUUACGUACGAAACAAACAGCAUAUUUUUCUUUCAUACUUUUUUACUGCACGUAAUGCAAUCUUACAACAAUUCAAAAUGAAACCUUUUAGACAAUAUUUCAUCUAACA
rnacentral:lncRNA from 1 species